CUGAGAUCAGUCUCCAGUGGCGUUUUGGUCCGGGAAAGGCCCUGACCUGUGGCCACACAUUAUGUAACCAUGCCACGUGAAGUGCAUUAGGUGAUCACUCACAUGAGUCUGUGCCUGGCUUAGAGACACUGUUGUCUACAAAAGGUAUAAUUACCCUGCUAGCGGCUAUACAUAGGGCUUGUGCCCAGAAAGAGGAUAAAGCCAUAUCAAAACUCCCUACGAUUCCUGUAGUGUUUUUCCAGCUACUCCCCCACCGACUCCCCUCGGACCUCAGUUUGGGAUAGAACCUGACAAUUGGUGUCAUGAACAGGAUCCUGAGAUUUAGAAGCAGUGGCGUCCCUCUUGCGGCAACAUUUAGCAGCAUGUGGUUGGGCCGUCAACGAAUCCAAGGUCCAAGGUCCUGGAUUAUCUGCCAGAUUCUUGGGAGUUAUCUGGUCAGGCUCCAGUUAGUAGUUGCUGCCUAGGAGAUGAAGUGAAUUUCACAAGAAAGACAUAAGAAGCCAACAACUGCUAUUACCCCUGUAUGCACACAAGUUGAACCUAACGGCAUUAAAAGAAAAGGACAAGCUGUGAAAUGCCUAGAUUCCAGAGCAACAGACUGUGAUCCAUUCCCAACAACCCCUCCCUACCGUCUGCCACCAGUUCCCUUAAAGCAGGAAUCAGAGCUAGACUGACUCAACUAAGUGGAAAAUAUGUAUUGCCUAGGAAUUUGAAUUCUGACAGAAAUGUUGAGGAGAGGAGUAAAUCAUAUUAAAGAAUUGUUUUGGAGAACUUGGAACUCAACAUUCCAUAAAGCAAGAAGCUUGACAUAGCAUCGAUGAGCCCAAGUCAACUAUAUGAACAAAACAAUGUCUCAGGAGGGGCAGGGUAUCACGUCAGAAGAAUCCUGAGUCCUUAGAUGACCUUGUAGAAAAGAGCCACAAACUUACUCUGGGCUACCUUCAUACCUCUGAACUAUUAUGCAGAGAGAAAUAAAUGUAUUCAAAUCACUGUUUUUUGGGUUUCUUCAUUCAUGUAGCUUAGCCUAUAACCUAAGUAA
rnacentral:lncRNA from 1 species